rnacentral:rRNA from 1 species
UACGUAGGGGGCAAGCGUUGUCCGGAUUUAUUGGGCGUAAAGAGCGUGUAGGCGGCCUGACCGGUCUGCUGUGAAAACUCGAGGCUCAACCUCGAGAUGUCGGCGGAAACCGUCUGGCUAGAGUCCGGAAGAGGAGAGUGGAAUUCCUGGUGUAGCGGUGAAAUGCGCAGAUAUCAGGAAGAACACCUAUGGCGAAGGCAGCUCUCUGGGACGGUACUGACGCUGAGACGCGAAAGCGUGGGGAGCGAACAGG